CCUACGGGAGGCAGCAGUGAGGAAUAUUGGUCAAUGGGCUUACGCCUGAACCAGCCAAGUCGCGUGAGGGAAGACUGCCCUAUGGGUUGUAAACCUCUUUUGUCAGGGAGCAACGCCGGCUACGUGUAGCCGGACUGAGAGUACCUGAAGAAAAAGCAUCGGCUAACUCCGUGCCAGCAGCCGCGGUAAUACGGGGGAUGCGAGCGUUAUCCGGAUUUAUUGGGUUUAAAGGGUGCGUAGGCGGAAUGCCAAGUCAGCGGUAAAAGCGCGGGGCUCAAGCUCGCUCCGCCGUUGAAACUGGCGUUCUUGAGUGGGCGAGAAGUAUGCGGAAUGCGUGGUGUAGCGGUGAAAUGCAUAGAUAUCACGCAGAACUCCGAUUGCGAAGGCAGCAUACCGGCGCCCAACUGACGCUGAAGCACGAAAGCGUGGGUAUCGAACAGGAUUAGAUACCCGGGUAGUC
rnacentral:rRNA from 1 species